AACGAACGCUGGCGGCAGGCCUAACACAUGCCAGUCGAACGAACUCUUCGGAGUUAGUGGCGGACGGGUGAGUAACCCGUGGGAACGUGCCUUUUGGUUCGGAAUAACUCAGGGAAACUUGUGCUAAUACCGAAUGUGCCCUUCGGGGGAAAGAUUUAUCGCCAUUAGAGCGGCCCGCGUCUGAUUAGCUAGUUGGUGAGGUAACGGCUCACCAAGGCGACGAUCAGUAGCUGGUCUGAGAGGAUGACCAGCCACACUGGGACUGGGACACGGCCCAGACUCCUACGGGAGGGAGGAGAGGGGGAUCUUGCGAAAUGGGGGAAAGCAUGACGGAGCCAGGCCGGGUGAAUGAUGAAGGUCUUAGGAUUGUAAAAUUCUUUCACCGGGGACGAUAAUGACGGUACCCGGAGAAGAAGCCCCGGCUAACUUCGUG
rnacentral:rRNA from 1 species